CCCACCAAACCCACCCAGUUUCAGCCAGGUGCCCGGAGCAAUGGUGCAGAGCGUGCUGUGCCGAUGCUUGGUGUGCCCAGCACCUCCUGCCCCCUCCUCCCAGCACAGAUUUGGGGACGGGUGGGAGCAGAUAGCCGCUCCUACCGCCUCUCGCCCCGGGUAGCGGCAGCAGCUCCCAUCCCUCGUGCUAGCGAGUGCGGGGAUUUGGGAUUUUGGAGGAGAUCGGGCAGAGUUGCUAAGCAACAGUGCCAGGCAGUGCCUGGCUGAAGGCAGGGCCGCUAAUGCCGUGCGACAGCGCAGCCCUUGAAGGCAGAGAGCUGCUGGGAGCAGGGAGCUGCACACAGCUCUGCA